AUUGUGAGAUCAUGACCUGAGCUGAAACUGAGAGUUAGACACUCAACUGACUGAGCCACGCAGGCACCCCAAAUUUUGUCAAUUUUAAGUGUACAGAUGGACGACUUUUAACAAAUGAACCCAGUAGUAUAACCACCACAUCAUCCCACAAAGUUCCUUUCCUGCCCUUGCCAUCCACCCCCUCCCCCAAGCUCGGUGCUUGGCAUUCACUGCUUUCUGCCACUAUAGCUUUGCCUUUAUUGGAAUGUCAUAUAAAUGGACUCAUACAGUCUGUAUUCUUUUGUGUCUGGCUUUUUUCACUUAGCACAAUGCUUUUGAGAUUUAUAUCUUUGAUUAUCAGUGCAUUUUGUUAUAAUUUCAUAUUGCUUAUUUGUAUUUUUUCUGAAAAAACUUUAUGUCCUUUGCCCAUUUUCUAUUGGGUCAUUGAUCUUUUCCUUAUAAAUGUAUAGAAGUAUAUUUUUAAAAACUCUGAAUAAUUUGGAAGUUUAUUUUUUCUAAAACUGCUUGAGUGUUUUCUCCUACCAAAUGGCCCACUUGAAACUGAUGGCCACUGAUGCUUGCCAUUCUUUCUCUGUCUGCCCCCUGGAGGCGCUGUCUCCUUUCCACCUGCCAGCUUGCUGAGGACAUGCAAAGGCUGGCCUGUUUCUCACAGUGCCCAGUGGGGAAGCGGGGUCUUGGGAGGAAAAGGAGAGCACAGAGCACCUGCUUAUACCCCUGCUCCUUGGCAUCCAUCUUGGAGUGGGUGGUUCCUGGCUGCAGAGGGAUAGCCCAGCCCUGCUUGUGGUCUCUGAACCUGUGCUCCCAGCCCUAGGACCAGAGACCCUGCAUGACCAAAACCUGGAUUUGUUUGAGCUUGCAGCCAAGCCUCCUUUUAGUCCUGUGCACUAGGAUGUACCAAGGAGUGGGAGAGGGACUGUCCUCUUAUCCCCUUCUGCUUCAUUACCCACCACAAACACUCAGGAAACCUUCACAGGGCAGGGCAUUCUCCCAAGUGGCCACUUCAAAAUCCUUAGUGUAAAGGGAACCCUGUGCAGGUCUGUGGGGCUGGGAGAACAAAGGGUGAUGGGAAAUCCACUGGGAUAGACAAGGUCACUCCAGCCCCAGAGGCCACCUGGAUGCCACCCCUAUCUCUCCUCUUUCCCAGGUUGCCCCAUCUUGUUGGGGUGCUGGGAAGAACCCACAUCUCCCACGGCCCCACUCUGUGCAACUAGAAGAAGGGCAAGCCUUGAUCAACUGCACUGGGAUGGUUGUGUGCCCAGCUUCCCAGAGAGAUCAUGUAGCCCAUAGGGGUUAGGGUCUGUUGGGUGACAUUGUGUGGGUGACUUCUGUUGGGUGACUUCAGAUACACUUCCUGGCAAGUGGGCUAUCCUGUACCAGCCUCGGUGCCUAACCACCAAGCACUCAGUACCUGGGGAAAAUGCAUCUUGUUUUUCAAACAUCCCAUUGGACACCCACUAAGGGCAUACAACCUGCUUGUCAAUUAGGGUUACCCUGUUUACUCCCCUAGUAAGCUUUCAGUGAGCUUCUCAGAUAGGCACUACUAGAUUUUGUUCUUCAGCUUUUUUAUUUUGUCUCUAUCUAGCACAAGAGGAUAUACAAGCAGCAAGGAUACUUUAAAAUAAGAAUGGUGACAAUGGUGAAAAAUAGUCUUGGUUCAACUCUAGUGCCUACUUUGUCUCUAAUUAAAGCUAUUAACUGAAAACGUUUGUACAACAGUUCUCCUCUGAUAGUUUCAAGUGUGUUUGUGUUCCAGAGUUUUUUGUAGAGCUCUUUGAAAUUCCCAUGGCUUACCUACUGAAUCUUCUUUGGAAUCUUCAAAUUCCCAAAUCUUUAGAGACUUGGUGGUCACUCACUGGCCAGAGGCAUUGUAAAAGGAUUCUGGAGAUUUCAACUUUUCAGCAAAAGCCCUUCCGAAUCUUUAGUCUGAUUCUGAGAUCCCCAAGGAGACUGGGGACCUUUCUUUGGAUCUUUCCUGUGAAAGGACCAUAUGCUCAGUCCUCUGAUGCAACACAAAUAGCUACUGUGAAGCUCAGUGGUGAGUUUCAAUGAGUUUAUUCCACUAUCUGUGGCCCAGGUAGGCUUGGACUUACAGGUAUGUUUGUGUUAUGUUUCAUAUUCAAAUGCACAGUUCCAGCAGUAUACUUUAUAAAUUGUACUCUUUGUCUUCCUUGUAAUCUGUCAAGCACCAAGUAUAGUGUCAUCUCUGUGUGGAUGCUCUACAAAUGCUAAUUGGUAGUGAUCAGGAUAAUGAUGUUGACAAAUGACUCCAUGAAACUGAUGAAUCAUUUGGUGGAAGAGGCCUGGUACAGCAGUUAUGUAAUGUUGCUUCACCAAACAGGCUCGACCAAAACCUGGCUCCCACAUGAGUUGGCAAUCAAACAAAAAGAUGAAGCAAGAAGUUUGAAUCAGCUAAUAAAAAUAAAUAAACUAAUUCAUAUGAGUAUUAGCA